UACGGAGGGUGCAAGCGUUGUCCGGAAUCACUGGGCGUAAAGGGCGCGUAGGCGGCUCAUGAAGGCUGUGGUGAAAGUCCGGGGCUCAACCUCGGAUCGGCCGUGGCGACUCGUGGGCUGGAGCACUGUAGAGGCGGGUGGAAUUCCGGGUGUAGCGGUGGAAUGCGUAGAGAUCCGGAAGAACACCAGUGGCGAAGGCGGCCCGCUGGGCAGUGGCUGACGCUGAGG
rnacentral:rRNA from 1 species